AACGAACGCUGGCGGCAUGCCUAACACAUGCAAGUCGAACGAGACCUUAGGGUCUAGUGGCGCACGGGUGCGUAACGCGUGGGAACCUGCCCUUAGGCUCGGAAUAACUCUCCGUAAGGGGUGCUAAUAUCGGAUAAUGUACUCGGACCACAGAUUUAUCGAGUUUGGAUGGGCCGGCGUUGGAUUAGCCUGUCGGUAGGGUAAAAGCCUACCAAGGAGAGGAUCCAUAGCGGGUCAGAGAGGAUGAGCAGCCACACUGGGUGGGAGACACGGCAGAGACUCCUACAGGAGGCAGCAGAGGGGAAUAUUGCACAAUCGGCUGAAUCCAGAUGCAGCAAUGCCGCGUGAGUCAUGAAGUCCGGAGGGUUGUAAAGCACGUUUACACGGGAUGAUAAUGACAGUACCGGGAGAAUAAGCUCCGGCUAACUCCGUG
rnacentral:rRNA from 1 species